UACGAGGGGUGCAAGCGUUAUUCGGAUUUAUUGGGCGUAAAGGGUGCGUAGACGGUUUGUUAAGUCUGUUGUUAAAUUCCCCGACUUAAUCGGGGGCAGGCAAUGGAAACUGGCGAACUGGAGUAUGGGAGAGAGAAGUGGAAUUCCCGGAGUAGCGGUAAAAUGCACAGAUCUCGGGAGGAACACCAAUGGCGAAGGCAGCUUCUUGGCCCAUAACUGACGUUGAGGCACGAAAGCGUGGGGAGCAAACAGG
rnacentral:rRNA from 1 species